rnacentral:rRNA from 1 species
UACACGACCGUACCGCAAACCGACACUGGUGCGCGAGAUGAGUAUUCUAAGGCGCUUGAGAGAACUCAGGAGAAGGAACUCGGCAAAUUGACACCAUAACUUCGGAAGAAGGUGUGCCUUUAGUAGGUGAACCAUUUACUUGGGGAGCCCAAUGAGGCUGCAAAAAAUCGGUGGCUGCAACUGUUUAUUAAAAACACAGCACUCUGCUAAGACGAAAGUCGACGUAUAGGGUGUGACGCCUGCCCGGUGCUGGAAGAUUAAAUGAUGGGGUGCAAGCUCUUGAUUGAAGUCCCAGUAAACGGCGGCCGUAACAAUAACGGUCCUAAGGUAGCGAAAUUCCUUGUCGGGUAAGUUCCGACCUGCACGAAUGGCGUAAUGAUGGCCACACUGUCUCCUCCUGAGACUCAGCGAAGUUGAAAUGUUUGUGAUGAUGCAAUCUCCCCGCGGAAAGACGGAAAGACCCCAUGAACCUUUACUGUAGCUUUGUAUUGGACUUUGAACAGAUCUGUGUAGGAUAGGUGGGAGGCUUUGAAGUGUGGUCGCUAGAUCGCAUGGAGCCAACGUUGAAAUACCACCCUGGUGUGUUUGAGGUUCUAACCUAGGUCCAUUAUCUGGAUCGGGGACAGUGCAUGGUAGGCAGUUUGACUGGGGCGGUCUCCUCCCAAAGUGUAACGGAGGAGUUCGAAGGUACGCUAGGUACGGUCGGACAUCGUGCUAAUAGUGCAAUGGCAUAAGCGUGCUUAACUGCGAGACUGACAAGUCGAGCAGAUGCGAAAGCAGGACAUAGUGAUCCGGUGGUUCUGUAUGGAAGGGCCAUCGCUCAACGGAUAAAAGGUACUCUGGGGAUAACAGGCUGAUACCGCCCAAGAGUUCAUAUCGACGGCGGUGUUUGGCACCUCGAUGUCGGCUCAUCUCAUCCUGGGGCUGUAGCCGGUCCCAAGGGUAUGGCUGUUCGCCAUUUAAAGAGGUACGUGAGCUGGGUUUAAAACGUCGUGAGACAGUUUGGUCCCUAUCUUCCGUGGGCGCUGCAGAUUUGAGGAAGCCUGCUCCUAGUACGAGAGGACCGGAGUGGACGAACCUCUGGUGUAUCGGUUGUCACGCCAGUGGCAUUGCCGAGUAGCUAAGUUCGGAAGAGAUAACCGCUGAAAGCAUCUAAGCGGGAAACUCGUUUCAAGAUUAGAUCUGCCGGGGCCUUGAGCCCCCUAAAGAGUCGUUCAAGACCAGGACGUUGAUAGGUCAGGUG